rnacentral:rRNA from 1 species
CCUACGGGGGGCAGCAGUGGGGAAUAUUGCGCAAUGGGCGAAAGCCUGACGCAGCGAUGCCGCGUGAGGGAUGAAGGUCUUCGGAUCGUAAACCUCUGUCAGCAGGGAAGAAGGGUCACUGUGCUAAUCAGCAGUGAAUUGACGGUACCUGCAAAGGAAGCACCGGCUAACUCCGUGCCAGCAGCCGCGGUAAUACGGAGGGUGCGAGCGUUAAUCGGAAUUACUGGGCGUAAAGCGCACGUAGGCGGUAUGUCAAGUCAAGGGUGAAAUCCCCGGGCUCAACGUGGGAACUGCCUUUGAAACUGGCAGGCUGGAGUGUGGGAGAGGAUGGUAGAAUUCCAGGUGUAGCGGUGAAAUGCGUAGAUAUCUGGAGGAACAUCAGUGGCGAAGGCGACCCUCUGGCAGAAGACUGACGCUGAGGUGCGAAAGCGUGGGUAGCAAACAGGAUUAGAUACCCCAGUAGUC